rfam:Heligmosomoides polygyrus genome assembly, scaffold: HPBE_scaffold0000037
CCAAAGGUCUUCUUAAAGACCAUACUUAUUAUAAACUCUAAGAAA